GACGAACGCUGGCGGCGUGCUUAACACAUGCAAGUCGAACGGAAAGGCCCCUUUGUGGGUACUCGGAUGGCGAACGGGUGAGUGAGACGUACGUAAGCAGCCCUUGCCUUCGGGAUAACUACAGGAUAGUGAGGCCGAUACCGAAUAGGAAUCAUAGCUGCAUGCGGGGGGUUGGAAAGCUACGGCGGUUUUGGAUGGAUUCGCGGGUUAACUGCUUGUUGGUUGGGGAGUGGGUUACCAAGGCGUUGACGGGUGGCCGGCCUGAGUGGGCGACCGGCCACAUUGGGACCUAGGGACGGCCCCGACUCCGACGGGAGGGAACAGUGGGGAAUAUUGCACAAUGGGCGGAAGCCUGAUGCAGCAACGCCGCGGGCGGGAUGACGGCCUUCGGGGUGUAAAACGCGUUCAGCAGGGGCGAAGCUUGUGGUGACGGUACCUGCAGAAGAAGCACCGGCUAACUACGUG
rnacentral:rRNA from 1 species